rnacentral:rRNA from 1 species
ACGAACGCUGGCGGCGUGCCUAAUACAUGCAAGUAGAACGCUGAAGGAGGUGCUUGCUUCUCUGGAUGAGUUGCGAACGGGUGAGUAACGCGUAGGUAACCUGCCUGGUAGCGGGGGAUAACUAUUGGAAACGAUAGCUAAUACCGCAUAACAGUAGAUAUCGCAUGAUAUCUACUUGAAAGGUGCAAUUGCAUCACUACCAGAUGGACCUGCGUUGUAUUAGCUAGUUGGUGAGGUAACGGCUCACCAAGGCGACGAUACAUAGCCGACCUGAGAGGGUGAUCGGCCACACUGGGACUGAGACACGGCCCAGACUCCUACGGGAGGCAGCAGUAGGGAAUCUUCGGCAAGGGACGGAAGUCUGACCGAGCAACGCCGCGUGAGUGAAGAAGGUUUUCGGAUCGUAAAGCUCUGUUGUAAGAGAAGAACGAGUGUGAGAGUGGAAAGUUCACACUGUGACGGUAUCUUACCAGAAAGGGACGGCUAACUACG